GCCAGGCAUGGUAGCGCAUGCCUGUAAUCCCAGCUACUUGGGAGGCUGAGGUAGGAGAAUCACUUGAACCUGGGAGGCGGAGGGUGCAGUGAGCUGAGAUCACACCACUGCACUCCAGCCUGGGCAACAGAGUGAGACUCCAUCUCAA
rfam:Gorilla gorilla gorilla genomic chromosome, chr16, whole genome shotgun sequence